rnacentral:lncRNA from 1 species
ACUCCUCCCUCAACCUUUUUUGUGAGUGGAGGGAAAGAAAGUGAAUUUGAGGGCAGUUAGCACGGCUAAUCUGCCCCUAAAUUCACCAAUAGAGACGCCGGUUGUGUCAGUUUUUCCUUUACUGGGUUCCGUUCCUCAUUUGGCUGAAGCACGGAGGUACAGGGGCCAGUUUGGCUCCAAACCAAGACUCGGGCUCAUAGUUCAGGUUCAUCUGUUUCGGGGGUUAACUUGCAGUCCGGCACUGAUUGGCCCAAAGUUCUUGUGGUCAUCCAAUGGGAAGGAAGAUUGGGAUCGAGCUCCGAUCGAGGCUAAGAGGCACUUGAGGAGCUGGGACCCAGCCGUUCCUGCUCGCCGUUGCGGCUGCUCCGGCUUCUGUCCCCAGAGGCAGUUCACCCGAGGCUAGUUCCCGAGGUCUGCCAGCGGCUACUCCCACAGCCUCCGCCAUGGGUCUGGAGCUCUACCUGGACCUGAUGUCCCAACCCUGCCGUGCUGUCUACAUCUUCGCCAAGAAGAACGGCAUCCCCUUCCAGCUGCGUACCAUAGAGCUGCUUAAAGGUGGGCUCAGUUGGCAGGCUGGGAAGUGUGCAGCCUUCUGUACGGAGCACCUCCCACCUCUGCAGCGGGUGGGUGACUGGCCAGGCCAGGUGUGCAAAAGCCGCUCCCGUGAGAAAGCAGUUGUAUCAGUUAUCAGCUGUGAAUUUUUAAAGGACCUUUUCCUAGUGAAUAACAUCAGUCCCAAUACCGGAUGCAAAGGCGCCCUGGAAGCUACGGCGAGAGGAGGGGAGCUGGGCUUGAAAAUCUCACCUUUGGAGAUUUAAGAAUGGUGAUCCUUCUUAAAGACUUUGGAGAGAAAAAAAAAAGUUGAACUAACUCCUUUCCUAAAUGAGGGAACCUCGUCUUGCAUUUCUGCAUGCUGGGCUAGAAAAGGGUUGUUUUGCUUGGGUGGGUGAUCUUUCACUCAAGACUCUUGUGUGUUUCCUGUCCACCAGAGCAAGUCCCCUCCAGUGUCCAGGCUUGCGUGCCAUUAGUUGUGUGUGUGUGUGUGUGUGUGUGUGUGUGUGUGUGUGUGUGUGUAUUUUACUGGGGACCGAACCAGGAUAUCUAUUAUAUAUGCCACCACCGAGCCAUGCUCCCAAAGCUCUUUCUACUUGUCAUUUUGAGAAAGAGUCGCAGUAAGAACAACAGCAUCCUCUUACAACUUCAUACCAUGCAGGUGCUUAAAGGUGGGCUUUGCUGGCUGGCCCGGAAGUCUGCAGCCUGCUGAACUUAUGCAGCCGUUGGCAGUCAGGCGAGGGGUGCAAGUGAGUCCCGGUGUUGCGCUCUCAGUUAGCCCAGUGAAACAUUGAACUGGUUGAGUUUCCCAAGAAGCUGAAUUACAGGCUUGCCAGACCCGCUUCACCCCCCCUCUCCUCCCCUCCUCCCCCAGAUCACACACAAACACACCUGCUUCUAGAUGUUAACUCUAUAAAAGUUGCCAAUCAGCUUGAGGGUUGAGUGAAAGGACAGUGGGAGGGGCCACUCUGCCUUGAGUUGGAAAAUCACUGCUCUGAUUAGCCUUGGGGGGGACGGGGGGAGUGGGGCAGAAACCCAGCUACUGAAGCAGGUUUCAGUAGAGGCAGAGUUACAACUGGACCGGAGCUUGGAGAGUCGGUGGGGGAGGGGCAAGCAGAGACUCCAGAACUUCUUAUUUAGCUGAGUCCUAUUUAGCUCCAGUACCUCUUCAGUACAUCCAGAUUGAGUCGCAAGACGGGGGCUGCACAUGGACAGUUUGUGAAAGGAGAAUGGGCAAAAGCAAUGGAGUCCAUUCAGUGGAAGGAAAGACAGAUCCGCAGAUGGAUCUAGAAGAACCUGAGUUCCCCAAAUGCCCUCUGACUCCAUUCACAUGGACCAGGCAACCUACCUUGUACCGUCAGAUCUGGUUUAGGCAUGGGGUUUGGUUCUGUCUGGGAAUCUCAAGUAAAGAGGGAGCUCUGAGGGCUUGGCAC